CGAACGCUGGCGGCAUGCCUAACACAUGCAAAUCGAACGAGACCUUCGGGUCUAGUGGCGCACGGGUGCGUAACGCGUGGGAACCUGCCCUUAGGUUCGGAAUAACUCCCCGAAAGGGGUGCUAAUACCGGAUAAUGUCUUCGGACCAAAGAUUUAUCGCCUUUGGAUGGGCCCGCGUUGGAUUAGCUAGUUGGUAGGGUAAAAGCCUACCAAGGCGACGAUCCAUAGCUGGUCUGAGAGGAUGAUCAGCCACACUGGGACUGAGACACGGCCCAGACUCCUACGGGAGGCAGCAGUGGGGAAUAUUGGACAAUGGGCGAAAGCCUGAUCCAGCAAUGCCGCGUGAGUGAUGAAGGCCUUAGGGUUGUAAAGCUCUUUUACCCGGGAUGAUAAUGACGGUACCGGGAGAAUAAGCUCCGGCUAACUCCGUG
rnacentral:rRNA from 1 species